rnacentral:snoRNA from 1 species
AUCUGGGUGAUGAAGAAAAUCGUUCGGAUUCCCACUGAUUUUUCAUGAUUGUUACAACCAGCUACUUCUGACAGAU